AUUGAACGCUGGCGGCAUGCUUUACACAUGCAAGUCGAACGGCAGCACGGUCUUCGGCCUGGUUGCGAGGUGCGGACGGGUGAGUAAUAUAUCGGAACGUACCCAGAAGUUUUGUAUAACGUAGCGAAAGUUACACUAAUACCGCAUACGAUCUAUGGAUGAAAGCGUGGGACCGCAAGGCCUUGUGCUCCUGGAGCGUCCGAUAUCGGAUUAGCUAGUUGGUGAGGUAAAGGCUCACCAAGGCGACGAUCAGUAGCUGGUCUGAGAGGACGACCAGCCACACUGGAACUGAGACACGGUCCAGACUCCUACGGGAGGCAGCAGUGGGGAAUAUUGGACAAUGGGCGCAAGCCUGAUCCAGCAAUGCCGCGUGAGUGAAGAAGGCCUUCGGGUUGUAAAGCCCUUUUGUUAGGGAAGAAAAGGUAGAGGCUAAUAUCCCGCGGUACUGACGGUACCUGAAGAAUAAGCACCGGCUAACUACGUG
rnacentral:rRNA from 1 species